rnacentral:rRNA from 1 species
UGCGUAGGUGGUUUCUUAAGUCAGAGGUGAAAGGCUACGGCUCAACCGUAGUAAGCCUUUGAAACUGGGAAACUUGAGUGCAGGAGAGGAGAGUGGAAUUCCUAGUGUAGCGGUGAAAUGCGUAGAUAUUAGGAGGAACACCAGUUGCGAAGGCAGCUCUCUGGACUGUAACUGACACUGAGGCACGAAAGCGUGGGGAGCAAACA